CAUUUUAGGUUGUGAUUUAGUGUUCAACGGCAAAGAUCAAUGCCAUACAUCAUGGACGAUCGCGGACGAAGGUAUUGACAGGUCUGAACCAUAAAUGGGGAGGUUACCAUGGAAACGUACCUCUACAUAGAAGCAAUGAAGCUGCAGUAGUGUAAUAGCCAACCUGUACAAAGUUAUAUAGCAGAUUUCAGACUGUAGGAGGGUUACCAUGGAAACUUAAUCUACAUCUAGCCAUUGAUAUAAAUGGAUGACCUAUAUCGACGUCUACAAUCAUCAGUGAGAGAAAUUCUGCAAACGAUCACGUGAAUAUGCUUGGCUCCAAGACCUGUAAAUGAAUUCAGGUAAGAAUUGAAUUUAAACAGGAAUAUGGGUAAUAGGUGCCUCUACCUUGUAUGUUUUCAUUUCGUAAUGAUUUGUGUUCGGUGUUUGCUGUAUUGUCAGAAAUUCGUUUUCAGUGACUACUUGGUUAUGUUUGACGUGGUGUUUGCGGUAGUGUUUUAUGGUGGUGUUUUAGUGUUUGUGGCGGUGUUUGUGGUUGUAUUUGUGGCGGUGUUUUAGUGUUUCUGGCGGUGUUUGUGGUUGUAUUUAUGUUGGUG